UCCGUAUCGUUCAAUGGUAGGAUCACUCCCUGCUAAGGAGAAGAUGGCGGUUCAAUUCCGCCUGCGGAUU
rnacentral:tRNA from 1 species